rnacentral:rRNA from 1 species
UACGUAGGGCGCAAGCGUUGUCCGGAAUUAUUGGGCGUAAAGAGCUCGUAGGCGGCCUGUCGCGUCUGCUGUGAAAUCCCGGGGCUUAACCCCGGGCGUGCAGUGGAUACGGGCUGGCUGGAGGCAGGCAGGGGAGAACGGAAUUCCCGGUGUAGCGGUGAAAUGCGCAGAUAUCGGGAGGAACACCAGUAGCGAAGGCGGCACUCUGGGCCGUGACUGACGCUGAGGAGCGAAAGCGUGGGUAGCAAACAGG